GACGAACCUUGCUAACGUUAUUCGGAAUUACUGGGCUUAAAGGGUGCGUAGGUGGUGCAGAAAGUCGGGUGUGAAAUCCCCCAGCUCAACUGGGGAAUUGCGCCCGAAACUGCUGUGCUAGAGGAAGACAGAGGUACGCGGAACUUAGGGUGGAGCGGUGAAAUGCGUUGAUAUCCUAAGGAACACCGGUGGCGAAGGCGGCAUUCUGGACUGUAACUGACACUGAGGAACGAAAGCCAGGGGAGCAAACGGG
rnacentral:rRNA from 1 species